rnacentral:rRNA from 1 species
AUUGAACGCUGGCGGCAGGCCUAACACAUGCAAGUCGAGCGGAUGAAGGGAGCUUGCUCCUGGAUUCAGCGGCGGACGGGUGAGUAAUGCCUAGGAAUCUGCCUGGUAGUGGGGGAUAACGUCCGGAAACGGGCGCUAAUACCGCAUACGUCCUGAGGGAGAAAGUGGGGGAUCUUCGGACCUCACGCUAUCAGAUGAGCCUAGGUCGGAUUAGCUAGUUGGUGGGGUAAAGGCCUACCAAGGCGGCGAUCCGUAACUGGUCUGAGAGGAUGAUCAGUCACACUGGAACUGAGACACGGUCCCGACUCCUACGGGAGGCAGCAGUGGGGAAUAUUGGACAAUGGGCGAAAGCCUGAUCCAGCCAUGCCGCGUGUGUGAAGAAGGUCUUCGGAUUGUAAAGCACUUUAAGUUGGGAGGAAGGGCAGUAAGUUAAUACCUUGCUGUUUUGACGUUACCAACAGAAUAAGCACCGGCUAACUUCGUG